UAGCCAAAAAAUUCUAAAGAAUAUUUUAUUGUGAUUAAAAAAGGUUUUGGCU
rnacentral:tRNA from 1 species